GACAAUUUUAGAAAUAAAAAAUUAGGAAAAAGAAAAAGAACGGAACAAACGAAAAAAAGAAAAAGAAAAAGAAAAGGAAAAGUCGGAGUUGACAAUUUCAUCCAAUCCCCCGGCGGCGGCGGAGGCUGUAGAUUCGUCCCUAAGGCGUUGGAAUUCUCAGCUCGACGGUGCGAUCAACGAAGAGACCAAAUCCGAAAUUCCCUCAAUCGAAGCUCCGCCAUGGUGUUGAACAGUCCUCUUGUUCUUUGGGUCGCCAAUAUUUCUGCCGAUCUCUGUCAAUACAUUGCUUGUAAUCCCGAGCGCUUCAAUAGCCACCAUGUUCUUUACCUCAUCUUCUGUUUCCCUUUCCGCCAUUUCCGCCGUAUCUCCCUUUCCAUUGUCUCCUCUCUCUGCCUUCCUUCUCUUCUCUCUUCUUCUUCCUCUUCAUCCUCCGAUUCCAAUUCCGAUUCCAAUUCCGAUUCCGAUUCUGACGACCUCGAUUCCUACGACUACAAUUCUCAUUCCGAUUGAUUUCCUCUACUCUACUCUAUUUUACCCUUUUCAUCUCUUUCUGGGUUGUAGUAUAAUGAUUGUUGAUUCAAUUGGAUGUUUAAUCGCUCUUGUAAAAACUUUAUUCUAUCUUUAUACUAAUGAAAACUAGACGCGUGAUAUUGUAAAUUUCUUUGUUUCUCUUUCGUUUAACGUUUUGUUUGACUGGUGAAGCUUAGGAAUUGAUUGAGGAUGCAUUUCACGUACCUUGGCAGGGUUUUUGUUCUUUGAUUAUGUUUAAUCGUUGGUCUGGUUGUUGAUGUUGUUGAUUUAUUCUUAGUUUUACUUUCAUUAUUGUCUCUUAGGUAUGAAGAAAUUGGAUUCUUUAGGUAAUUUUUGUUGCAGGGCUGCUUGGAUAUGGUUCAUCUUGUUUUCUUUUGGUUACGGCUGCUCCUAUAGCUGCUCCAAACUACGUGGAAUACAUGUACCAAAUAGUAAUGUUUCUACCUUCUUCUCCCUUUAUGCAUUACUUUUUUAUGGGGCUGGUGUUUGAUUGAUUUAAUAUGUUGCACUUCUUGCAAAUUUUCAUCAUAAACUCUGGUGGUCAUAUUUUACUCUAUCUUGUACUAUAUUUUGUAUAGUUUCCAUGCCACGUGGUUUAUCAAUUUUUUCUUGAGCUGAUUUUGAUAUGAGUGGAGUCUUUGCUUUUGAGGCUCUUUUCGAGUUUUUGAUCAAUGUAGAUACAAUGCGGGCAUCAUUAGUCCCAUGUGAAGACCAGAAGCUGGGGUCUUGAUUCUAUUCAAGUGCUUUCUUUCACAUCUUUGUUGAAGUUCCUUUCCAAAUCGUGUUCAUCACUUUUAAUAGUCUCUUAAUGGCUUAAUCUUUGAAAGUUCAUGGACCUUCUUCGGCUUUUUGUGUUAAGUCGCAAUGGUUUAUUUAAUAUCUAACAAAGAAAAGUCCUUUACUUUCUGUCGAACGCGAUUCUGAAUCUUGGCUAAUUAGUAUUUAUUUACUUUCCAUUUGGUGAGGGAAGUUUGGUUCAAACUCCUUUUUCAAUUUGAUUUUUCUUUUUUUAUACUUAAAGCUGCAAACUUCCAUCUGAAGAAGAGUGUUCUUUUGGGACUCUCUUAUUCUGGUGUUUAUUUGGUGUUGUGAAUAGACUUAGAGAUAAGAGGGCUUUAUGAAUUAGAUUGAUUGAUGACUGCAGGUCAAAUUUGGCGAAGAUUGAAGUUUGCUCUCAUUUAGGAUUAAAAUUGUUAAAAUGGUUAAUUUGUUUCUUCUUUUGCUAAUCUGUAUUUAUUGGGUUUGUUUCUUCUUUUGCUGGUUUGCAUCAUCAUACACGGAUCUCUUUUCUGUAAAUUCUCCCAUUUUCUUUUGUGCUCAAUUCCCGUGUUGCUUCAAAUUUUAUUAUGAAAAAUGUGUUUAUCCCUCUAUUUGUUCUUCCCGUUUCUAUCUUACUAAGCAGGAAUGAGGAACGUAAAUGCCAAAAAGUUCCUUCCCCCUUUUUGUUAAUAAGUCUCGGACAUGUUAGAAGGUAAAAAGUUUAGUCGAUGGAAGCUUUAUGCAUUGCCUUCAUUGAUGUCAAAGAUAUUGCGGGAAACAGAAGUAGUUGUAUGUACAUAAAGAGAUUUAUACGUGCAUAUUAAAGUCUAACAUUGGAUGCACAAUAAAGAAAAACUUAACGAGUCUAGCUUCAUGUAAUUACAAUUAACCAUGGCAUGAUUUAACUCUUCAUUACUCGUAUAAAUGAUCACAUGGUCUGAAACUCUAUUCUGUUGAAAGCUUGGGUGGUUAGAGGUUGAUAUUCAAUGCUUGAGGAGGUAUUUUUUAAUCAUCUUUUUCAUGUCAAAGGAAGGGUACUUUGGCAUCUUUUUCUUUUUCCUCUCACUUUGUUGGGGGUAUUAGGCUUGAGAAGAAUAGUAGAAUCUCUAGGAUGUGAUUAGGUUUGAGUCUAACACAUCCAUAUACUCAUGUAGGCGUUGGCUAAUACAAUUUUUUGUAGUUAUCAGUUUGGUAUUAUUUUUUUUUAACGGAACCUCUUUCUGUAAUUGAGCGUGAAGGACUAUUUUGUUAGUUUCUUGUAGGGGGAAAAAAAAACUCACUGUACCUUCUUCAUGGUCGGUUACCGGCCCUGUUUUAGUUUUAGCAUUUGCUGUAUGUGACUUUUACAUUAUCUAUUUGAUUGUUUCAUCCCUACUUUAUGUGCAUGUCUUUUUUAUACUUUUUCCUUAAGAGUAGGUUCAUUUUGACUUACAGCUUCUUGAAGUCGCUUUUCGAUUUUACUUGUUAUUCUUACCUCACUGCAGCCUGAUGGUCACUCUUGACCUUAACUUAGAUAUUCAUGGGUUAUGUUAAGCUGAAGCAAAAUGAACAUGACAAAUUGAGUGUUGGGCCCUUCAGUUUGUGGUUGAUGAUGUUUAGAGAAUUCUGGCAGCAGCGUACACUAUUGCUUUCAGCUUCUCAGCAUGCCUGGUUCUGUUUAGCUGUUUGCCACUUGGAGUAGGUGAAUGAAUUUGGCAUAUUUAUUGAAAAGGACUAUAGUAGGUGAUGGUUUUCAAUGCUUGUGCUGGAUGGAAAGACUUCUCUCUCCCUGUGCCCCCACAUGCUGGAAAAGCUUCUUAUUUUCUGCAAACGGUGGAGUCUCCAAUUGUGUUAUGUUUAAAGAGCUUCUUACUGAGGUGAUGUAAUUGCUUUUAAAGUUGGUAAUUGUUUGGAGAGUUGAAAUCUUGAGAAUUGGAGUAGCGUUGAAAAAACGCAAGCAACGUUUGAAAAUUAGAUCGUGAAAUGUGAAAAUAAUUAGAGAGAAAAGAUUGGAUUGAAAAUUGUUGGACUGAAGUCAAUUGUGUAUUAUAAAUUGGACUCAAUCCAAAAGAUAGUUUUUGGGUUGCAUUACAUUACAAACAUGUCGCAUUAUAAUCCAUCAAAUACCCCUUAAAAGUUUAUUGAAUAAGUUACUAUUGUCAGUAGUUA